CAAUAAUUAAUUCUUACUUUUUCUAACUACUCUUCUUUCUUCUCAAAGAAACUCCUCCCAGCCAAGACUCAGUUCCAAAUAGACAAGUGGGAAUUGGCCCAUGUAUUUAUAAAAUUCGACUUCACAAGAGAGGUUCUCAGAUCUCUGAAGUUCUGGACUUCUCCCAGAUUUGCGUCCUAGAACCACAAAGCAAGAAGCUGAACGUGCAGAAAUAAAAACACAUAAAAAGAGACCGACAUCUGUUUUCACUUUACCUGCCUGAAACAGGUUUACAAAAUUUACAGAAGAAUGAAUGAAAAAUAUGCAUUUGCUUGUUGCAACAAGGAAGAAAAAGCUUAACCUGCCUAAAUUACCUUUUCCUGCUUACUGGAAAAGAAGAAAAAAAAAAACAUUUUAAAUCAGCAUUUUGAAUUCGUAAACUUUUCACAAGUUGAAAAAGAAGUUAAAUACCACACAUGGUUCCAUGGUUCCGUUUUGGGGCUUAAAAACAAUUUAAAAACCACUUUUCCUCCAUUUCCAUCUGGAGGUGUGGUUCUAGCUUCCACACGAGCAGUCAUGUAACUAUUUCUUGAACUUCAGCACAGAUUUUAAAAACCUUUCAUCCUUAUUGCCUCUGAACAUCCAGCUUUUUUUGGUGGGUUUGUUUUUUGUUUUUUGUUUUUUUAAUUAGCAACAUUAACCAAAUGUGACUCACUAGUGAUGAUGGCUUAGCUUGGGACAAUGUUGGUGGUUUCCACUUCCAGCUUGCUGUCCUGGCUUUUCUUGGCAGUUCUACCUCUUGCUCCAGGGAUAGCUCAGCAGCACAUGGAGCUCCUUCACCACUCAAGUUUGGAGGAAACCAGGAUCCAUUUCAAUUUCCCUUAAUACACCUGCCUCUAAUUUAUGGCAGCUCAGCAGCUGCUCCUGAGCAGCCACAGCAGCUCUGCAGUGGAGGCAGGAGCCUCUGUGAGAAGAGAAGGGCUGAUGUCCUGGCUGAAAUCAAGGGCACAGGCUGGGUACAUCGGCACAUGCCACAUGUCACAUUAAGGAAAUCUGAGGAGUAAUGCACUCAAUGAAAACAAAAUAGAGCUUGGCAACAAUUGAAAUAUUUAUGGGGUGAGGGAGGGGAGGAGAUAAUGUGCUACAGAGUGAUCAAGAGCAGUCAGAUCGUCAUUCGGAUCUGGGGGAAAAAAUGCUUAGGAGGGUGCCCUAGGGAGAUUUAAAAAAAAUGAUAAUAUAUUCAGAAUUUGCUACUGUUCAGGUAAAAAAAAGCAGACAUUACUGCUUUAACAGGUACCCAAGCCCUUUGGCUCAUGGCAUACGAUAUUUGAAAUGGCAGGGGUCAGUACACAGGAGAAAACAUUUGGGGAUGUUUCAGCACAACUUUCAACACAAAUGACUGGAAAGCGAUCAUCUGUCUUAAAGAUCGUGCCCACAGCAGUUCUUGUCCUGUAGCAAAGUAUGAGACAAAGCUAUGGUACUCUGGCUUUGUGACUUAAAAAAUGAAGUGGAAGAAAUGAGAUUGUUCAGCUGGUCUUCCGAAUUUUAAGAAUUAAAUCCUAUAUUUACAUGUAGGCCCAAGAGAAUGAAACAAAUGCAAAAGAAGGGAGCAUUCUUUGGAAAUGUGGCUGAUUAUUUUUCUAACCCGGUGUGUCAUGAGCAGCCUAGAUGCUACCCAUAGAAAGAAUGUGGCCUUACAACACGUCAUUGUACAUCCAGUUCCUUUUUUAAGAGUCUUUGUUUUCUCAAACUGAUAUUUGAAUUGUUUUCACCACCUGACAUACC